rnacentral:rRNA from 1 species
AGAACGAACGCUGGCGGCAUGCCUAAUACAUGCAAGUCGAACGAACACUUCGGUGUUAGUGGCGCACGGGUGCGUAACGCGUGGGAAUCUGCCCUUGGGUUCGGAAUAACAGUUGGAAACGACUGCUAAUACCGGAUGAUGACGAAAGUCCAAAGAUUUAUCGCCCAGGGAUGAGCCCGCGUAGGAUUAGCUAGUUGGUGAGGUAAAGGCUCACCAAGGCGACGAUCCUUAGCUGGUCUGAGAGGAUGAUCAGCCACACUGGGACUGAGACACGGCCCAGACUCCUACGGGAGCAGCAGUAGGGAAUAUGGACAAUGGGCGCAAAGCCUGAUCCAGCAAUGCCGCGUGAGUGAUGAAGGUCCUUAGGGUUGUAAAGCUUCUUUUAACCCGAGAUAGAUAAUGACAGUAGUCGGAGAAGUAACGCCCCGGAUAACUCCGUGCCAGCACGCCGACGG